GACGAACGCUGGCGGCGUGCUUAACACAUGCAAGUCGAACGAAAAGUGGGAAAGUGCUUGCUCUUUCCGGAAUUGCGUGGCAAAAGGGUGCGUAACACGUAAACAACCUGCCUUAAGGAUGGGCAAAUCCGACGGAAACGACUGCUAAUACCGAUUAAGUUCCAUGAGCUGGGUGGGCCAUGGAUGAAAUGGUGGCUUCUACAUGUAAGUUCUCGCCUGACGAGGGGUUUGCGUUUUAUUAGCUGGGUGGAGGGGUAACGGACUACCACGGCGACGAUGAGUAGCCGGUCAGCAAGGAGGAGCGGCCAAGCUGGAACGGAGACACGAUCCAGACUCCUACGAGAGGCAGCAGGGGGAAAUCCUCCGGGAUGGGCGAAAGCCUGAAGGAUCAACGCCGCGUGAGUGAUGGCGGCCGUCGUGUUGUAUGAGUCAUGAAGCCGGGACGAAAAGACAGAGUGCGAAGAACAAACGACAUUGACGGUACCGGAAGAACAAGCCACGGCUAACUACGUG
rnacentral:rRNA from 1 species